rnacentral:rRNA from 1 species
GACGAACGCUGGUGGCGUGCUUAACACAUGCAAGUCGAACGGAAAGGCCCUGCUUUUGUGGGGUGCUCGAGUGGCGAACGGGUGAGUAACACGUGAGUAACCUGCCCUUGACUUUGGGAUAACUUCAGGAAACUGGGGCUAAUACCGGAUAGGAGCUCCUGCUGCAUGGUGGGGGUUGGAAAGUUUCGGCGGUUGGGGAUGGACACGCGGCUUAUCAGCUUGUUGGUGGGGUAGUGGCUUACCAAGGCUUUGACGGGUAGCCGGCCUGAGAGGGUGACCGGCCACAUUGGGACUGAGAUACGGCCCAGACUCCUACGGGAGGCAGCAGUGGGGAAUAUUGCACAAUGGGCGGAAGCCUGAUGCAGCAACGCCGCGUGCGGGAUGACGGCCUUCGGGUUGUAAACCGCUUUCGCCUGUGACGAAGCGUGAGUGACGGUAAUGGGUAAAGAAGCACCGGCUAACUACGUG